GGGAAAAUAAAUCAAUAAAAUAUAAUCAUUGCAGUGCAUCAAUAUUAGUCCGAAUAUGUUUCUUGUUUCACCAGGUCUGUUCUUUUACAGGAAGCAACCUGUUGCCUCGCUCAGAAUCCUGUCUCCAUUCAUUCAGCACUCUACAUCUCUCUGUCUGAACUUCUGCUCAGUCUUCCUAGCCUAAGGACAUAACUCCAAGUCAGAGACCUUGCCUGGGGCAACCCCUCUAAUCUCACAUUAGUGUGGGCUCACCUGCACGGUCAGGGUAAGGCAGAGCAGGGCUCUCAUGCCCUCUGCCUGCCUGUACAACUCUCUAAGAGUGAUCAGCGCAGAGGGUACCACCACCACCGAGCUAUUGUACUCUGUCGGAACUGUGUGUCAAUCGAUGGGCUUAUAUUCUAAGAGAUCUACCACACUGAAGAGUUUACAUCCAACACACGUGACUUUGUGCUGGGAUAUCAGUAUGUAAGUUGACUAUGAAUUUUAGGUUUAGUUAGGAAAUGGCUUGGGAACACCCAAGUGUUAGUUGAUGAGUAGUUCUUGACAUAUGAAUAUGAAUUAGAACUUUACUCAAACAGGACUAUUUACUGUAUACCUCUUCACAACUUUACAACUGAUGCUCUUAAACACAUUAAGAGAAUAAAAAAAUCAGGUAAUCAACUUUGACAAGUUCAGCACAGCUGUUAACUGAAAGCCUGAAUUCCAGGUGACUCUACCUCAUAAAGCUGACUAAGAAAAUCCAGGCAAGAUGUGCAAAGCUGUCUCUGUCUAAACAAGAGGUGUGUUAUUUUAAGAAUCUAAAAUAUAAAACAUGUUCUGGUUUGUUUAACACUUUUUUGUUAACUUAAUUAUUAACAUGUUUUGCUUCAUACUAGUUUGGAUGACUUUAGUAUUAAUAUACAAUGCAGGUAUAUAUGGUU